rnacentral:rRNA from 1 species
GAUGAACGCUAGCGGCAGGCCUAAUACAUGCAGGUCGGACGGGAUUCAGGAGCUUGCUUCUGAUGAGAGUGGCGCACGGGUGCGUAACACGUAUGUAACCUACCUUUAUCAGGGGGAUAGCCUCUCGAAAGAGAGAUUAAGCCCGCAUAAAAUCACAGCACAGCAUUGUGUAAUGAUCAAAUAUUUAUAGGAUAAAGAUGGGCAUGCGGAACAUUAGCUAGAUGGCGGGGUAACGGCCCACCAUGGCGACGAUGCUUAGGGGAUCUGAGAGGAUGGCCCCCCACACUGGUACUGAGACACGGACCAGACUCCUACGGGAGGCAGCAGUAAGGAAUAUUGGUCAAUGGGCGGAAGCCUGAACCAGCCAUGCCGCGUGCAGGAAGACGGCCCUACGGGUUGUAAACUGCUUUUAUACGGGAAUAAACCCAGAUACGUGUAUCUGGCUGAAUGUACUGUAAGAAUAAGGAUCGGCUAACUCCGUG